CAGGCAAACCCAUCUGUGGCUUCGCAGCAUCCCAGCCCGAGGAACAGCAUGUACAUGCACUGUACGUGUAGCACUGCUUUUAAAAUCAGCAAGUCCUCUUUCCAGUAAAGAUGCAAAUGCAGUGAUCCCAGUGAUCACUCUAGGUCUACUUUUCUGCCUUCCUUUCCAAACCAUUAAAUGGCAGAGGAAAAUAUGUUCUGGGAGCCAGAAGUGUAGCUGGAGAAGAGGGUUUCACAGGGGAACUGUCACUUCAGUUUUACAUAGCUGGACUCUCACCUCCAGAGCAAGACAAUUUCAGGCCCAUCUAACAGAGAACCUACUUUUGGAGCUGUAAAGUACAUGACAGGACAAAUUUAAAAGGAUCUGUGAAUACACUGAUUACUACAGCUACGUUACUGGAAUGAUUUGGAUCACAAUCAAUAAAUUCAUUUUUAUACGAAAAUAUAGUGUAUAC
ensembl:lncRNA